rnacentral:rRNA from 1 species
UACGUAGGGUGCGAGCGUUGCCCGGAUUUAUUGGGCGUAAAGGGCGCGUAGGCGGUCACGCACGUCCGUUGUGAAAUCGCUCGGCUCAACUGGGCGGGGUCAGCGGAUACGGCGUGGCUGGAGCAAGCUAGGGGGCAAUGGGAAUUCCCGGUGUAGUGGUGGAAUGCGUAGAUAUCGGGAGGAACACCAGUGGCGAAGGCGGUUGCCUGGAGCUUUGCUGACGCUGAUGCGCGAAAGCGUGGGGAGCGAUCCGG